UGCAAGUCGAGCGGACAGAUGGGAGCUUGCUCCCUGAUGUUAGCGGCGGACGGGUGAGUAACACGUGGGUAACCUGCCUGUAAGACUGGGAUAACUCCGGGAAACCGGGGCUAAUACCGGAUGCUUGAUUGAACCGCAUGGUUCAAUUAUAAAAGGUGGCUUUUAGCUACCACUUACAGAUGGACCCGCGGCGCAUUAGCUAGUUGGUGAGGUAACGGCUCACCAAGGCAACGAUGCGUAGCCGACCUGAGAGGGUGAUCGGCCACACUGGGACUGAGACACGGCCCAGACUCCUACGGGAGGCAGCAGUAGGGAAUCUUCCGCAAUGGACGAAAGUCUGACGGAGCAACGCCGCGUGAGUGAUGAAGGUUUUCGGAUCGUAAAACUCUGUUGUUAGGGAAGAACAAGUACCGUUCGAAUAGGGCGGUACCUUGACGGUACCUAACCAGAAAGCCACGGCUAACUACGUGCCAGCAGCCGCGGUAAUACGUAGGUGGCAAGCGUUGUCCGGAAUUAUUGGGCGUAAAGCGCGCGCAGGCGGUUUCUUAAGUCUGAUGUGAAAGCCCCCGGCUCAACCGGGGAGGGUCAUUGGAAACUGGGGAACUUGAGUGCAGAAGAGGAGAGUGGAAUUCCACGUGUAGCGGUGAAAUGCGUAGAGAUGUGGAGGAACACCAGUGGCGAAGGCGACUCUCUGGUCUGUAACUGACGCUGAGGCGC
rnacentral:rRNA from 1 species